CCUACUUACAGCAGCCAUCCGCCCGGGUACUACAAGCGUCAGCUUAAAACCCAAAGGACUUGGCGGUGCUUCAGACCCACCUAGAGGAGCCUGUUCUAGAACCGAUAAUCCCCGUUAAACCUCACCACCCCUAGCUUUCUCCGCCUAUAUACCGCCGUCGCCAGCUUACCCCGUGAGGGUUCAACAGUGAGCACAAUGGGUAAAUCCCAAAACGUCAGGUCGAGGUGUAGCGAAUGAGGUGGAAAGAAAUGGGCUACAUUUUCUAUCACAGAAUAAUAACGGACAGCAAACUGAAAUAAACGCUCAAAGGUGGAUUUAGUAGUAAAAAGAAAACAGAGUGUCCUUUUGAACCAGGCUCUGAAGCGCGCACACACCGCCCGUCACCCUCCCCAUCAACCCUAAACAAUAGUAAUUAACCAACUCCAACUUUGAUACGGGGAGGCAAGUCGUAACAUGGUAAGUGUACCGGAAGGUGCACUUGGAAGAAU
rnacentral:rRNA from 1 species